UGGAGGAUAUUUGAGAGGUGUUGUGAGGUGAGGUGUCAACAAACGUGACAUCAUGAUCCUACCUUCAUGCCAGUCCCUAGUUCAGUAUUGGGUGCAAUGCAAACGGAUAUUGGAGACAUAUGAAGCCAAGUGUUACACUGUACCACUCCUUUCCAUUGUUGACCUACUUGCCUCCAUUGCAUUUUCCUUUGGUCUCCGUGGCUUAGCAGGUGGACGGGGAUGCACAGGUGUGGCAUGUUCUGACUGACAGACUUGGUUCCGCAGUGAGACAUCAGCUUUUCACUUGAUCAAUUUGACCAAAUCCAUACUAAGCAUAUAU